AGAGUUUGAUCAUGGCUCAGGACGAACGCUGGCGGCAAGCUUAACACAUGCAAGUCGAGCGCCGUAGCAAUACGGAGCGGCAGACGGGUGAGUAACGCGUGGGAACGUGCCUUUCGGUUCGGAACAACUGAGGGAAACUUCAGCUAAAACCGGAUACGCCCUUCGGGGGAAAGUUUACGCCGAAAGAUCGGCCCGCGUUAGAUUAGCUAGUUGGUGGGGUAAUGGCCUACCAAGGCGACGAUCUAUAGCUGUUCUGAGAGGAAGAUCAGCCACAUUGGGACUGAGACACGGCCCAAACUCCUACGGGAGGCAGCAGUGGGGAAUAUUGGACAAUGGGCGCAAGCCUGAUCCAGCUAUGCCGCGUGGAUGAAGAAGGCCUUCGGGUUGUAAAGUCCUUUCGUUGGUGAAGAUAAUGACGGAACCAAAGAAGAG
rnacentral:rRNA from 1 species